ACCGUCUUCAGGCCGCCCACCACGCCGCCCGCGUCAUUAGCCUUCUCGGUUCCGUGGUGCGAGGGUCGGAACAUUUUGUUUUUACGUCCCUGCCGUACCCGAUGUGAAGUUCCCUUGUUCCCUGCUACGGUUGCUGCUGCCCUUCUUUAUUCUUGACUCAUCCUAGCAGAGGCUUCUCUCCGAUACCUUAGUGCUCACAGGGAGCCGGCGUUCCGUCCUGUGGCUCACUUGUGCUGUUUCUUUGCUUCUCCGCGUCAUCGUUUCUGGCCGUGCUCCCCGGGCUGAUUCUGGUGUUCUCUUUCCAGGUUACCGAGUUGACUCAUUACCGCUGUUUAUUCUUUAUUAUUUUUCCUAAGCGUUGCUUCUUAACUUUCAGGCUUUAUUUCUAGCCUGAGACUGUCGGGCUGUAACUUUCUUCUCGGCUCAGCUCUGCUGUCCUCUGCGGUUGGUUUGCGAUGCUCUCACCGUCCGGUGUCAGCACUUUAAAUUAAUUCCCGUUCUUCGGCAACCCGUGGGUGAUGCAGAAGCACUUUUGUUUCCUCAACGCAAGGGGGUUUUAGGUUGUGUUUUUAUGACUAACUUUGGCUCAGAAGCCCUGCGUUCAGAGGACACGGUCCGUGUGGCCUGACUCUUUUUGAGAUUUGGGUUGCGUCACGGCCCUGUGCUCUGGCCGCCGCGGUGGCCGCCCUGGCGUCGGCGGUGGGGCCAGCUGGCCUUCCUGUGCCCGUCUCCGGUUUUCUCGGGGCCGUUCUCCUCCCCCCUCCCUCUGGCGGCCUUCAGCCUCACUGUGGCACUGCUGGGGCGGGGUGGGGGCGGGGGUGGGGAGGCUUGCUUCUCACUUAUCCUGCUGUGGAUUCCGUGUGCUUCCUGCAGAUAAAGUGUUGCGCCUUUUAGUAAUUCUGGAGAAAUUCUGGCCACGACUUUGUUGAACUCCGCGUCUACCUCACGCUUGACUUCGUGGCGCGUCCUGUGGCCUCUUGUUGGAGCUGCUUGCGUUUCGGUCAUUUUGUGCUGCCCCCGGGGCGGUUCCCCAGGCCUCCAGCCCUGCCACCUGCUCCGUGUCGUCUCGUCUGCCGGUCAGCCAGCCCGUUAAACUUUUCCUCCCACUGAUCAUAGCUCUUGCUUUUAAAAGUUCUCUUUGGUCCCUUCCCAAGCUGCCCCUUUUCUGACUUGGUAUUUUCUUCCUUGCAUAUUCUGACCUCCACUGCAACGUGCACACGCUGUAUGCGGCAGCUAAUAGCAGAAUACUAACCAUCAUGGUGGUCCUAACACCCGACUCGACGCGUCUCGGGGUUCAGUCCCACCGCUGGUGCUGCUGCCUCUUGCCCCCGGUUUCUGGAGUGCUCGGUAACACAGGCUUCUGUCCCCGUGAGCUCCACGGGGAGGCUCUGCUCCUGCCGGGCACCCCAGAGCGGCACUGACCUGGGACCGGUUUAGGUUAAUUUUCUGCACCCACGAAGGGACUUCUAACAACGCCACUGACCAAUCGGAAGAAGAGUGAUGCCAACCGGGAUUCUGACCGCAGGGGAAGGGACAAGACUGGUGUGGACGCAGGUCGCUCGGGGAGAGACCCGUGUGCCGUCGGGGAGUUGGAAGCUGAGAAGAUGUCCUCGUCGAGUGCCUCAGCGAGGUUGGGACACCGGGCUUUGUCCUCAGCGGCCCCUGCUUUCCAUCAGCGUCUCUGCAUCCAGGCGAGGUGACUCCUGCUGCUUCGGAGUCACGUUUCGACAGCUGUUAUUAUUCGAUUGAGGCCUGCUCGGUCGCAGGAGAGCCACACGGGGAGCUCGCCAGGCCUGGCCCGAGAGCGGGACCCCUUCCAUCUGAGCAGGUGACAGGUCACGGACGUAGGCGUCGGAGCCAGAAAAUAAAUGGAAAGACCGUUCGGCAUCUAGAACGAGGUGACUCUCGGGGCUUGUCUGAGGCUGUCUUCGUGCUGUGCGGUGACCAGCCCCCCCAGUGCGGGUCCCCAGGCCUCCACGUCCUGUGGCACACGGCCGUCACCUCUCAGGGGGGCCUCCCCGUCUCAGUGGGUGCCUUUCUGUCCAUUCUGCCGCCACCCUUCCUGUGUCUCCCCGGGUCCUGCCCGGGAUCCCCUUCCUCCCCGUCCCUUCACACACCUUCCUCAACAGCACUCUUGCCUUCCUUGCCCGGUGAAUUCUUUUUCUUUUCAAAAAAAAUUUUUUUUUAAUUUCAGAGGGGGCGCACAUGGGUGGGAGAGGGGCAGAGGAGGGAGACAGACAAUCCCAAGUAGACUCCCUGCUCAGCGCGGAGCCGGGUGCCGGGAUCGUGACCUGGGCCGAAGUCAAGAGUCGGGCGCUCGACCAACGGAGCCGCCAGGCGCCCGCUUCCUGGUGAGUUCUUACGCACCCUCAACUCGGCUGUCGCUUUGCUGGGGAAGCCGCCCCCGUCACUAGUCCGAGUGAAGACACGCGCACACACACGCACACUCUCAGCACACGGCGCCGCCUUGUUACCGUCUUUGCGGCCCGGCUUCUCCGGCUCACGCUGCGCUUCUGCCCUCGGCGUCGGGGGAAGGCCCUGAAGGCCGGUCUCCACUGCGCUCUGUGCAGCCGGGCUGCCCCGUGACGGCACUUGGUGCAGGGCGCGCGGGAGGCGACGUCGCACGCGGCCGCACGCGGUGGGUCGUGGCCGGGCCAGAGCACCCCGAGGAGGGUGCUGCGGACCGGCGGGCACCCCACCCAGGAGGGAGAGCGAGGAGAGAAGCGAGGGCUGAGCUCUGCGCGGGCUCGUCCCCAACGGGCCGCGUGGCAGGGGUCCCCGCGUGUUUGUCCUCUGGCGCUGGCUUCGCCCUGCCUUUCCCCUUGGGGCGGAGCCGAAGGGCAGGGUGACCGUUGUCCGUGUCUGUUGCCAUCUAUGCCCGAGGAAGCGUGGUGGCAUCACGGCGGAGCGGCUCGCCGUGUCCUGCCGUGUUUCUGGAACGCGGCAGAGGCCGGGGUGCUGACGCUGGCCGGUCCGCCAGCCUGCACCAACUCCGGGUUCUCCUUGUUGCUGAGUCAUUUCGCGGCUCAGCACGUCUGACGGGAGCGUCCCCUUCUCCCUAAAGCCACCGGGCACUGCUCGCUGCCAAGUUCCCGUGUGGCGGUCGCGUGGCUGUUUGCAGGGGACGCGGAGGGCCCCGGCCACCUGCUCUUGUGUUGACGGGAUGCCGCCUGCCUCCCCGGUGUGCGAGCUGAGGGCCACGAGGACCCGAGCGUCUGGUGCUGUGCACAGCCUCAGGCUCCCGGGGCGGCCGGUUUGCCGUGUGGACGGCUUCUCCUGGGCUCGGUGGGGAUAUUUCCCUUCUUCGGCAAGUUUGUUUGUUGCCGUUCGCGGCUGUGGACGGGUCACGUUUGUGCCUGUGGCCUUUUGACAACAAGCCUCCACAUUCGCAGACACACGGAGGUAGGCCAGCUUUAUUGAACGGCGGUGAGUUUUUCCAAUCCCCCCUUUUCUGCCCACUCCCGUGCCUCCACCAGGGAACGGAAGUAGCCUGCGGUAGAGAGAGGCGCCCGACCCCCCGUGUGCAGACGGCGGUCACCUGCAGGCUUCAGGGGCGCCUUGUCUGACACUGGGACGCCGGUGACAGCAGCCUGCUGCCUGUUACAUCUGCUGGGCCCCUGCUUCCGGAGGUGGCCCCCCGCUGAGGUCCCGGGGGCCAGGACAUCAGUGUCGGCGUCCGUGUGGGAUCCUGCCCCUCUGUUCCCUUCCUGCCGUCCUGCCGCCAAACGAAGUCGCCACGGAGAAGCUUCGUGCCGGACAGCGACCCUGGCGCCACUGGGAUUCGGCCCCUGGGCGGCGGAGGGACGGCGGCCUAGCGCGCACCCUGCCCAGCAGGUGUCCAGCGGCCGAGGGCCGGGCCUCAAAAAGAACGGUGUUAGGAAAACAGGAAAAUUAAAAAGGAAGUGAUGAUAACUACUCAUUAUUUAUUCUCAGCCAUUUAUUGUGUAUUUAUUUCUAGAGAGAUUAGUUUCUUCCUCUUCUUCCAACCUUUAUAGAAGACAAAGGAAACUGGGAGUACUGGAUAAUUUUAUCAUACUUUUUAUUUUGUAACUUGUGAUUAUAUUGGAUUUCCCAGAAUGAGUCAGCUUUUUUUAAGAUUAGGAACUACUGUAGUAAAUGAAGACACGUAAAAUAUUCAACCCCCCUGUACCUACCAUCCGGUGGAGGAAUUGAUCAUUAUAGACAACAUUUGAAGCGAGAGAAUCAGUGAAAUUAAAAGCUUCUAAAAACCACGUAAAUGGAAAAGGAAAAUGGGAAGAAAACAAUCCUGAAAGUGUCCUCUCUGAGCUUGUGCUGCCUGAUGCAGUGCCUAAGGCCACAUGUCACAGGGCCACGGCUCACGGGGGCCACGGCUCCCAGGGCCAUGUCUCACGAGGCCAUGGCUUCCAGGGGCUGUGUCUCAUGGGGAGCCUCGUCUCACGGGGGCCAUGUCUCACGGGGCCACGGCUCCCAGGGCCACGGCUCACGGGGGCCAUGCUUGAGGUGUGCCUGUCCUGAAUUCAGGUGUGUUCUCACUGUGAAAGGCGCGUCUAUUUAAAGACGUAAUAUGAAAAAAAGAAUGUAAAAUACCUCAAUGUUCUUUUGUAGUGAUUAGGAGUUGAAAUGAUAAUGUUUUGGAUUUAUUGGGUUAAAUAAAAUAUGACCACAUCAUUUUGCCUGGUUUUUGUUGCUUUCUAAUGCGGCAGCUAGAAAACACAAAACUGAAGAUGGGGCUUGCUCUGCGACGUGGAAACGUCACGUCUCCACCGCGCGGUGCUGGUCGCGAUCCAGGUCGCUUCGCGGGAUGGGGCGGGGGCAGCGUGUGGCCCUGGGCGAGCGCCUCAUCUCUGGAUCCUGCAGCCCCGAGAGUGAGUGAGGCGGGUCUCGCGUUGUAAGUCUCUACCCGUCGGACCCGAUGCCGCCUCUGUGGAGAGUGGUUGCCACACGUAAAGUGCUCAGGACAGAGUCUGGGAACACCAGCCACCAAGCUUGUUUGAUAUCAUCACCAAUAAAUUGUCCUGUAAUAGCUCUUUUACCGGGUGGAAAUGCAUUUCGUCGACGGUCCACACCCAGCGUUUUGAAAGGAUUUGUACUCCAACGUGGAAUUGCUUGGGCAUGUCUACACUGGCAGAGCGGGCCGGCCCACAAGUAGUGCCCUUCUUGUCCCAGGUGCGGCCGAGGGAGGCAGGUGGGUCGGAGGCCCAUCCCUCCCGGGUGUUGUGUUGGGCUCCCAAGGCGGAGUACGUCUUCCCGGGCGUGUCUCGUGGGUGGCCGCAUUCCCGGAACAUUCCGUGUGUGUGGAAACCAGACUUCGCGGUGUUUGCGUCCAAGUGGAGUCAGGCUCAGAACUCUGGAGCGGACGUCUGGGCGGAAGGAGCACUGCAGGGCCGGCCCCUUAAACACCUGCUGUGCUUCCCGCCGCUGUGACCACGGGCACCCCUAUUUCUGCAGGGGUCCCUGGGGAGCGCGCGGUAACGUCCCGAGGUCCCCGGGCCAGAGGGCCACAGGUCUGCCGUGGUGCAGGCCGCCUCUGUGGCGUGCCCUGGCUGGGACAGCCCAUCCUGUCCCCUCUGUCCCUGGGGCCCUGGGCCCGGCAGGCCGGCACGCAGGCUCUCCGUUGUGUGCGUGUGCCACAGGAGCAAACACCCAGUGGCGAGGGACCGCGCCCCCACGGAGGCCCUGGAGGCGCGAGGAGCGAGCCUGCCUGCCUUUAUUGUGACGUUUUCGCACGUGGGCCUCUCAGGGGGAAGCGCCGAGUUGCUCUUUUCUGGGAAGCGGUGAC